rnacentral:misc_RNA from 1 species
AACAUCUCAACUCUCACGGCGCUUGCGUCGAGAGGAUUGGAUUUGAGUGAUCCCGACUCCUUCGUAAGAAAGAGGAGGGUCGCUUGAAAUGCAGGUGCAGCAGGACAUUCUUCUGAGCUAAAAGCAUAUCUAUUUAGUCCCGUCAAACGGAUUAUUACUUUUGCUUCAGCUAACAUAAAGGUUGAAUGAACCACAAUCGCUGAUUGCAGGAAAACUCGUUCGUAACAGAACUUGUGA